rnacentral:sRNA from 1 species
UCAGGUGGUGUCCAGCGCGCAGGCGCAUACUUAUUCUCUGCGCGGCGUCCGUUUCUCCAGACUUUCCACUUUUGGCAAGCUAUGUUCCCUGGCUUGUGUCCAGUCUACAAAAGGUCUUAAAACCACGGAGCAGGGCUUUAAGCGUUUAGGAUCUCGCUUUUUGCAGGCUUUUGACAAGAAGGCUCAGAUCUCCACUAACCAGUGGCCACAUUUUACCAUCAUGAUCAUUGAGUAGCUCACAACCAAACCGUUUGCUUUAUCACAGCAAGAAGAGUGAGGAGAGCCAAAAAUGUCACAGAAGGUAAAUAUCACAGGUGGUUAUGACAAAGCAAUCUUAGCUCUUUUGUUGAAUCUCAUGCUCAAAGAAAAGCCAAUAGAUCUAGUACCCAAGUGUAGCAUAUAAAAGGGUGGAACCGGGAAGUGAGGAUUAUUGACAACUAUUCCAUAAAUGGCAUACCAUAGGUAAAUGCUGUGACAAAAUUCUAAGUGUUUUUCUAAGUUGCAGUCUCCCUUCCCAAAGCUGGGUGUGACUUUAAUUUGGAAGCAAGGUGAUGCUGAUGGAACUAACUCUGUUAAACCUAAUUUUUAUCAGAAUGCUAAAUGUUCUUACUCAAGUGUGGCUACCAUGCAUAUAAGACUAGCAUGUGGGAUGGUACAUGUUAUCUAGCAUGCACCUUCUGAGGCAGCUUAAAGAGAUGGAAGACAGAAAAAGAGACAGCAGUAUGAUCUUCCAUAGACAGGCCCAUGUUUAUUGGCAUAUAUAGUGAGUGGUGGGUCUACUCAGAAGUGUGGGAGAGUGAUUGCCUUCAGAAAAAGAUGGCCGCUACCAAUGAUGGGGUGGGAAUGAUUGUAGCUCCUAGCUUACAUGUCUUCCUGUAGUCCCUCUCUUCUGGAGCUGCCAGCCAAAGUUCAGACAGGCAUUUCAGCAGAUAAUAAGACUAUUUGUAAUCUUGGAGGAACCCUGUUUUAUAAGGGAGACACUGCAUUAUCUCAAACAAAGGGAUAUAAAAAACAGCAGGGGGUUGGGGGCAGGGCUGUAGAGGAGUGCCAUUGCUGGAGUCGGGUAGUUCUGGCUCUGUGGAAGAGGGGUCCUCUGGCCACUUAGCAGGAGGAGAGCUUUAACCUGAUUGGCUGUUAUGGAUCAUAUUGUCAUUCUGCAUUCCCCGGGGAGACAGAGAUGGGGAAGAGUUGGAUGGCUCAUGACUCAGGGGUCACCAAACUACUUUCAGGACUUUGAGGGCACCAAUCUCUGUUUAACUGUUUUGAGCUGACAAAGGAUUGAUGAGGGGACUAUUAUGGUAAAUUUAAAAAAAAAAAUCAGGCACCAACCCAUGCUAUUGCCGGCACCAGUGGGCCACAUGGCAUCUACGAGGUAUUUUCAUCUUAAUCAGCAAACUGUUCAGUUAAUCUCUUCCUGUUAAAUUCUGACCAUUUCUAAAUUCCCCAGAAAGACAACUCAGAACAACCACCCUCAGCCUCCCAAGUCCAGGACACUGGGUCAACGACUCUUCACAACUUCUUCAGGCUGAAUAUGGAUGUUGAGAUAUCUUGAUGGGGGCUAGGGAAAAUGGCCUUAAGAAGGCCACCCAACAAUUGGUGCAGUCUCUGAUGUUUGUCCUGACUGGAUCUGGCCAAAAGUCCCUGAGAUCAGGAGUUCAAGCAGGGAGAAGCUGGAGGAAACUGAGGAGGAGGGCAACCCUGUA